GAAUUUAAUAUAAUUUUAUUUUAAUUAAAUUUAUAUAAAGUGUGGUUAAUAAGAUAAAAUAAUAUUUAGUUGGGAGGAUUGUUAAAUUUAGUAAACUUUAAUUAAAAUAUAAAAUAUAAAUUAAUAAAUUUUGGAGUGGUUAAUAAAUUAAAUAAAAAUUAAUUACCUUAGGGAUAACAGCGUAAUAUUUUUAGAGAGUUCAUAUUGAUAAAAAUGUUUGC
rnacentral:rRNA from 1 species